AAGAACNCGAACAAGAGAAUACGAAGAACNUAGAGAUUGUCCUGGGGUAGUCGCAACGAGCGCAACCCUCGUCUCUAUGUUGCCAGCACGUAAUGGUGGGGACUCGUAGGAGACUGCCGGGGUCAACUCGGAGGAAGGUGGGGAUGACGUCAAGUCAUCAUGCCCCUUAUAUCUAGGGCUGCAAACAUGCUACAAUGGCUGGUACAACGGGCUGCAAUACCGCGAGGUGGAGCAAAUCCCUUAAAGCCAGUCUCAGUUCGGAUCGGAGUCUGCAACUCGACUCCAUGAAGUCGGAGUCGCUAGUAAUCCCGGAUCAGCUACGCCGGGGUGAAUACGUUCCCGGGCCUUGUACACACCGCCCGUCACACCACGAAAGUCGGCAACACCCGAAGUCAGUGGCCCAACCCGCAAGGGAGGGAGCUGCCGAAGGUGGGGUUGGUGAUGGGGGUGAAGUCGUAACAAGGUAGCCGUACCGGAAGGUGCGGCUGGAUCACCUCCUUUCUAAGGAGCAUCCGAGUAACUCACUCGGAGCACCAGUCGAGGCACUGGCUAGUNUGGUCUGUGCGGAGCAGUCGAUACUCGAGUACGCUCGUAUCACCGGCAAAGGCANGUCGUAACGUCCUCUGUGCCGUNUUGCGGGAUGCGCAUGAGUNNCCGUAANGCCCAAGUCGUAGACUCUUGCUGCCGUCGAAGACGCCCUCAUUGUUUCCUGAAACCCUUCGGUC
rnacentral:rRNA from 1 species